AUGUUCUCGUCACAAUCGGCGAGUCGCAUCAACAACAUACGCACCUCCCUCAUCAAUGCGCAGAAGGGUAACCUCUCGGUUGCCUCCUACUUCGCCGCCAUGCGUGGCUAUGCCGAUGAGCUGGCCGCAGCGGGCAAGCCCAUCCAGGACGAUGAGCUCCUCCCGUACAUCAUCCACGGGUUGGAGGCGGACUAUCAGCCACUGGUGUCGGCCCUCGACGCCCAUGUUACUCUUGCAACCCUCGACGAGCUCUUCGUCAUGCUGUCGAACUUCGACCAGCGCAUGGCACAGUUCCAUGGAUCCGACGGU
rnacentral:rRNA from 1 species